UGGGGAAUUUUGCACAAUGGGGGCAACCCUGAUGCAGCGACGCCGCGUGAUUUAGAAGGCCUUCGGGUUGUAAAAAUCUUUUGUAUGGGAAGAAAAUGACAGUACCAUACGAAUAAGGACCGGCUAAUUACGUGCUAGCAGCCGCGGUAAUACGUAAGGUCCGAGCGUUGUCCGGAAUCAUUGGUCGUAAAGGGUACGUAGGCGGAUAAGCAAGUUAGAAGUGAAAUCCUAUAGCUCAACUAUAGUAAGCUUUUAAAACUGCUCAUCUUGAGGUAUGGAAGGGAAAGUGGAAUUCCUAGUGUAGCGGUGAAAUGCGCAGAUAUUAGGAGGAAUACCGGUGGCGAAGGCGACUUUCUGGCCAUAAACUGACGCUGAGGUACGAAAGCGUGGGUAGCAAACAGG
rnacentral:rRNA from 1 species